CUACGGGAGGCUCCAGUGGGGAAUAUUGCACAAUGGGCGCAAGCCUGAUGCAGCAACGCCGCGUGAGGGACGAAGGCCUUCGGGUUGUAAACCUCUUUUAGCAGGGAAGAAGCGAAAGUGACGGUACCUGCAGAAAAAGCACCGGCUAACUACGUGCCAGCAGCCGGGGUAAUACGUAGGGUGCAAGCGUUGUCCGGAAUUAUUGGGCGUAAAGAGCUCGUAGGCGGUUUGUCACGUCUGCUGUGAAAUUUCGAGGCUCAACCUCGAACUUGCAGUGGGUACGGGCAGGCUAGAGUGCGGUAGGGGAGAUGGGAAUUCCUGGUGUAGCGGUGGAAUGCGCAGAUAUCAGGAGGAACACCAAUGGCGAAGGCACAUCUCUGGGCCGUAACUGACGCUGAGGAGCGAAAGCGUGGGGAGCGAACAGGAUUAGAUACCCCAGUAGUC
rnacentral:rRNA from 1 species